GCAAUUUUCCAAAGGGAAGAAAUAUCAUUGCAUGCAGUUCUAAAAAGAAGUACUAAUUAAUUAUGGGUUAAAUAAAAAAUAAGAAAAAGAAAUUGACAUGCAAAUUAAAAACUAAAAACCCCAAAGCAUAGAUGUUAUGAUGAUGAGAACGAGUUGGUCAAAAUCGUUAUACAACAUUAUGAGAAUCCAUCAUAUCAUAAUCCAUUCAUCAUCCCUAGAAUCUUCACAACUUGUGCUCUCCUCUUUUGUAGUUUUAGUAAAAUUUUCAGUAUAAACAUCAUCAUCACUUUCCUUGGUAUCCUCCCGAUCAUCUUCUGAUGGUAUAUCAAGUUUAUAGGCAUGUCUAUACUCUGCCACGGCUGAAGAAGAGUAGGUGCCAAAUGAGUCAUUUUUGCUGAUGGAAGUAGCUUCAGAAAGAGCCUUCUCGGCAAGCUCUUCCCUCCUCCCAAGCUCCUCUCUAAGGCGAGCAAGAUCUAACCGUGUUUCUAUAUCCUGAAGACGAGCCUUCUCGGCAAGCUCUUUCUUCCACGACUCCUCUAUAAGGCGAGCACAAUAUACCCGUGUUUCUAUAUCGUGACGACGAGCCUUCAGCUCAGACUCAGAGAAAAGUUCCCUGGCAGGACGACUCUUAGCGUCAUGAGUAAUUAAGAUCGUAAUCGCCUCACUGUCCUCCUUCGUGCACGAAGGAAUCUCUCUCUCAUCUUUCUUCAAAGGCUUUGUGGCCUUGAACACAUACUCGCACAUGGAAGUCAAAAAAGAGAAAAGCGAAGUAAUCACGGACUCCCCCAUGGUGAAGAUAAACUGAGAAGAACGACGCUAGUUUUUAGACUUUUAGUAUAUAAAAAA
rnacentral:lncRNA from 1 species